CAGAUUUUAUGGUCAGACACCGGGGAGCUGGUCGUGGUAGUCAUAUCACAGGUCAAGGUGUGCAUAAUCAAAGAAUCGAAAGAUUUUGGCGUGAUUUAUGGUCUGGAUGUGUGUGUUACUUUUAUAACAUAUUCUGCUAUUUAGAAGGACAAAAUAUGUUAGAUGUUUCAAGCGAAUCAGACAUGUAUUCACUUCAUUACAUAUAUCUACCAAGAAUUCAAAAGCAUCUAGAUGAUUUUAGAGCAGCAAAUAUAAGAAGACCACGUAGAACUGAAAAUAAUAAAAGUCCACUUAAGUUAUGGAUAGGGGGUCAAAUGAUAGAUACAAGAGAAAAUCUUAUUUCAGAGGAGGACAUUUCACUCUAUGGAUCAAGUCAGGAAGGUUUAUGGACAGAGGAAGCCACAGACAAUGUUGUACAAGUUCCAGAUAUGUCUUCAUUAUCGCCACAAAAGUUUGCUGACUUAAAGAACUUAGUGCAACCAAUGGCAAUAUCAGAAAAUCAAGGGAUGGAUUUAUUUCUGAUGACUAAGGAAUUCGUAAUUAACAACAUGUAAACUUUGAAACAGUCAGUUCUAUGGAUAUACUACUUCUGCGUUUAUUUACAUAGUAGUAGUAAAAUGUGUUUAACGUUGUGGUAUCGCAGGCAAUUGUCCCUGCUGGAACUGACUCGGUUCCAUAAGGUAGUGCACGACUGAACCAUCUACUCAAGUUAAUCGUGCAUAAUGACAGUCCAUAACAGGGGCAAGGGAAACCAUUGGAGGGGUACAUAUCUUUCAUAGCCAGGGAGGAUGAAAUGAACUGGGAUUUAACAUCCUACUUGUUCUGUGCUAAUGAAACAGACAUGUGCCAUGCAGUGUUCUUCUUUGCAUCUCUAUAACACUAUUAUUCAUACCAAGAAGAUAUACAA